GACGAACGCUGGCGGCGUGCCUAAUACAUGCAAGUAGAACGCUGAAGGAGGAGCUUGCUUCUCUGGAUGAGUUGCGAACGGGUGAGUAACGCGUAGGUAACCUGCCUGGUAGCGGGGGAUAACUAUUGGAAACGAUAGCUAAUACCGCAUAAGAGUAGAUGGCGCAUGACAUUUGCUUAAAAGGUGCAAUUGCAUCACUACCAGAUGGACCUGCGUUGUAUUAGCUAGUUGGUGAGGUAACGGCUCACCAAGGCAACGAUACAUAGCCGACCUGAGAGGGUGAUCGGCCACACUGGGACUGAGACACGGCCCAGACUCCUACGGGAGGCAGCAGGAGGGAAUCUUCGGCAAUGGACGGAAGUCUGACCGAGCAACGCCGCGUGAGUGAAGAAGGGUUUCGGAUCGUAAAGCUCUGUUGUAAGAGAAGAACGAGUGUGAGAGUGGAAAGUUCACACUGUGACGGUAUCUUACCAGAAAGGGACGGCUAACUACGUG
rnacentral:rRNA from 1 species